ACUCCUGCGGGAGGCAGCAGUGGGGAAUUUUGGACAAUGGGCGAAAGCCUGAUCCAGCAAUGCCGCGUGAGUGAAGAAGGCCUUCGGGUUGUAAAGCUCUUUUGUCAGGGAAGAAACGGUGAGAGCUAAUAUCUCUUGCUAAUGACGGUACCUGAAGAAUAAGCACCGGCUAACUACGUGCCAGCAGCCGCGGUAAUACGUAGGGUGCAAGCGUUAAUCGGAAUUACUGGGCGUAAAGCGUGCGCAGGCGGUUUUGUAAGUCUGAUGUGAAAUCCCCGGGCUCAACCUGGGAAUUGCAUUGGAGACUGGAAGGCUAGAAUCUGGCAGAGGGGGGUAGAAUUCCACGUGUAGCAGUGAAAUGCGUAGAUAUGUGGAGGAACACCGAUGGCGAAGGCAGCCCCCUGGGUCAAGAUUGACGCUCAUGCACGAAAGCGUGGGGAGCAAACAGGAUUAGAUACCCCAGUAGUCCCAUGA
rnacentral:rRNA from 1 species